rnacentral:rRNA from 1 species
UAAAGGGUGCGCAGGCGGUGGAGCAAGUCAGUGGUGAAAGCCCGAAGCUUAACUUCGGGAUUGCCAUUGAAACUGUUUCACUUGAGUUUAGUCGGGGACGGCGGAAUGAGUUGUGUAGCGGUGAAAUGCAUAGAUAUAACUCAGAACACCAAUUGCGGAGGCAGCUGUCUAGACUAAAACUGACGCUGAGGCACGAAAGCGUGGGGAGCGAACAGGAUUAGAUACCCUGGUAGUCCACGCAGUAAACGAUGAUCACUCGUUGUUGGCUACUUGGUAGUCAGUGACUAAGGGAAACCGUUAAGUGAUCCACCUGGGGAGUACGUCGGCAACGAUGAAACUCAAAGGAAUUGACGGGGGCCCGCACAAGCGGAGGAACAUGUGGUUUAAUCCGAUGAUACGCGAGGAACCUUACCUGGGCUUAAAUGCAGGCUGCAUUGGGUGGAAACACCCAUUUCCUACGGGACCGCCUGCAAGGUGCUGCAUGGUUGUCGUCAGCUCGUGCCGUGAGGUGUCGGGUUAAGUCCCAUAACGAGCGCAACCCCUAUCGUUAGUUGCCAGCAUGUGAUGGUGGGGACUCUAGCGAGACUGCCGGUGUAAACCGGAGGAAGGUGGGGAUGACGUCAAAUCAGCACGGCCCUUACGUCCAGGGCUACACACGUGUUACAAUGGCCGGUACAAAGAGCAGCCACCUGGCGACAGGGUGCUAAUCUUCAAAGCCGGUCUCAGUUCGGAUCGAAGUCUGCAAUUCGACUUCGUGAAGGUGGAUUCGCUAGUAAUCG